GAUGAGGAACGUAGUGAAAUGCGAUACGUAAUGUGAAUUGCAAAUUCAGUGAAUCAUCGAGUCUUUGAACGCACAUUGCGCCCCCUGGUAUUCCGGGGGGCAUGCCUGUCCGAGCGUCAUUGCUGCCCUCAAGCACGGCUUGUGUGUUGGGCCCCGUCCUCCGAUCCCGGGGGACGGGCCCGAAAGGCAGCGGCGGCACCGCGUCCGGUCCUCGAGCGUAUGGGGCUUUGUCACCCGCUCUGUAGGCCCGGCCGGCGCUUGCCGAUCAACCCAAAUUUUUAUCCAGGUUGACCUCGGAUCAGGUAGGGAUACCCGCUGAACUUAAGCAUAUCAAUAAGCGGAGGA
rnacentral:misc_RNA from 1 species